AAAAAAAAAAAAAAUAGCAAAAAACGCGACAAUCUAUUUUCUAACGUCUAAAAAGGCAGACAAUUAGUGUUUGGUCUGAUUAUCUAUCGCAAACCCUAGGUCAUGUCUGGUGUGUACAAUCAAGACGGCGGCGAUGGUCGAUACGGUGGUCACGGCGGUGGAAGUAGAGGAAACCGAGCUGGUGGUGGAUACCAAGGAGGUGAUCGCGGUGGAAGAGGAGGUGGCGGCGGCGGUAGAGGUGGUGGUGGCAGAGACGGUGGCGGGAGAGACGGUGACUGGCGUUGCCCUAACCCAAGUUGUGGGAACGUGAACUUUGCAAGGAGAGUUGAAUGUAACAAGUGUGGUGCACCUGCUCCUUCUGGUACUGCUGGUGAUCGAGGAGGGAGCCGAGGUGGAGGUGCCAGCGAUCGUGGUGGUGGUAGGAGCUACGAGAGUAGUAGAUAUGAUGGUGGCAGUAGGAGUAGAAGUGAUGGUGGUGGUGGUGGCUCUUAUGGUAGUAAUAGUCAACAUAGGGAUAAUGGUCCUACACCUCCACCUAUGGCAGCUAUUCCAUCCUAUGACGGUUCUGGCACGUACCCUCCACCUAUGGGGUAUGGAAUGGAAACAGUUCCCCCGCCUUCAAGCUAUGCUGGUGGUCCCACAGGGGGUUAUGGCGGUGAUGCACCGAGGGGUGGUAGAGGUGGUGGCUAUGAUGCUCUUCGACGCCAGGAACCUAGUUAUGGAGAUGCGCCUGCUGAAAAAGUCAAGCAGUGCGACGCAAAUUGUGAUGAAACUUGUGAUAAUGCUAGAAUAUACAUCUCUAAUUUACCUCCGGAUGUGACCACUGAUGAACUCAAAGAUCUCUUCGGUGGCAUUGGCCAAGUUGGAAGAAUCAAGCAGAAGCGGGGUUACAAAGAUCAGUGGCCUUAUAAUAUCAAGAUUUACACUGAUGAGAAGGGAAAGAAUAAAGGUGACGCCUGCCUGGCUUAUGAAGAUCCCAGCGCCGCACACUCUGCAGGCGGCUUUUUCAACAAUUAUGAAAUGAGGGGGAGCAAGAUUGGUGUAACGAUGGCAGAGAAGUCUGCGCCCAAAGCUCCUGCUUUUGACCAGAGAGGCGGUGGUAGAGGAGGGGGAGGUGGCUAUGGUGGGGUAGAUAGAAGAAGAGAUAACUAUGGCUCAGGACCAGACAGAAACCAUCAUGGGGGAAACCGGUCUCGUCCAUAUUGAGAGAAAGAGAUAGAAUCAAUGAAUCAAUCAGUUAUGGGUUAUAAGAGUUUGUGUGUGUGUAAGGGGGGAAAUGUUAUUAUAUGAAUCAAUCAUAUAAUGGAGAGAUACCAAACAAAACAAAAGAGAAGGAAGUGGAUAGUUAACUCCACAAUUCUUUGCAAAUUGGUGGGUAAGGGUCAUGAUGAUUUCAGGUGAGUGCAUUAAAUCUUUUUUUUUACUUCUUUACAAGCACAAAUCACUUUGAUGUUUCUCUUUCUGAAUCUUCUUUUUGACUCUGUUCAACACAAACAAACUAUGUUUCAUCUUGUAAAUUUAUCACUCUUUUUUUAGCAACAUAUGUUACGUGAGAAACCAGCUACACUUGUGUCUAGAGCCUUAAGUAUGCAGUUGUGAAAUUUAGUGCUAACUAGGUCGGUUAAGACCCUUUUGGCUAUAGCUAGUUGAUGAUUUAGAACAGGAGUGGCGUUUUUAGGGCAAUACAAAAUUACAAAUAGUUCAUUAUGAUACAAUUUGGAUCUUAGAGGCUGAGAGAAAGGAGUGUCUGUAAAGUGUUAGAUGUGCCUUGAUAGUUGAUACGAUAGUUGCCAAUUGGAAAUCUUGUUGAGAUCCAAUAUUCUUUGGAAUGAUAAUGGAUUUCGUAAUUUUCUUGAUCAUUUCCACUGAGAAUCCUGCUUCUGAACGGUGUAUUUUCACCGGAUCAAUCUCUCCGUCUACCACAUUUUCUUUUGGUUAAAGUCUCUCCGUCCACCACUUGGCGCUGUUACAUUCUCCCGCGAGUCCAACAUUGGAUGUGAUAUAGAGGCCUGGUGGACGCUUGUAAGAAUCAGUACAAAUUUACAGCCUUCAAACCUGUGUAAAAAUCCAAAUUUUUUAUCAUUAUGUUAUUAUUAAGACCAUACUUAUUGUUUGUCCAAUCACGAGCCAUACUAGAUUUACAAGUUAAUAUUCAAAUGUCUGUAAGACCAAA